GAUUACAGCCACAUCACCCUGCAACUCACAACUGGCAACCCACUGAAGCUCAGCAGGUAUGAGCCUGGUCAGUACCUGGAUGGGAGACCGACUGGGAAAAACUAAGGUUGCUGCU
rnacentral:rRNA from 1 species